rnacentral:rRNA from 1 species
GAUGAACGCUGGCGGCGUGCCUAAUACAUGCAAGUCGAGCGAAUGGAUUAAGAGCUUGCUCUUAUGAAGUUAGCGGCGGACGGGUGAGUAACACGUGGGUAACCUGCCCAUAAGACUGGGAUAACUCCGGGAAACCGGGGCAAAUACCGGAUAACAUUUUGAACCGCAUGGUUCUAAAUUGAAAGGCGGCUUCGGCUGUCACUUAUGGAUGCACACGCGUCGCAUUAGCUAGUUGGUGAGGUAACGGCUCACCAAGGCAACGAAGCGUAGCCGGCCUGAGAGAGUGAUCGGCCACACUGGGACUGAGACACGGCCCAGACUCCUACGGGAGGCAGCAGUAGGGAAUCUUCCGCAAUGGACGAAAGUCUGACGGAGCAACGCCACGUGAGUGAUGAAGGCUUUCGGGUCGUAAAACUCUGUUGUUAGGGAAGAACAAGUGCUAGUUGAAUAAGCUGGCACCUUGACGGUACCUAACCAGAAAGCCACGGCUAACUACGUGCCAGCCGCCGCGGUAA